rnacentral:rRNA from 1 species
UGGGGAAUUUUGGACAAUGGGCGAAAGCCUGAUCCAGCAAUGCCGCGUGUGUGAAGAAGGCCUUCGGGUUGUAAAGCACUUUUGUCCGGAAAGAAAUCCUUGGCUCUAAUACAGUCGGGGGAUGACGGUACCGGAAGAAUAAGCACCGGCUAACUACGUGCCAGCAGCCGCGGUAAUACGUAGGGUGCAAGCGUUAAUCGGAAUUACUGGGCGUAAAGCGUGCGCAGGCGGUUUGCUAAGACCGAUGUGAAAUCCCCGGGCUCAACCUGGGAACUGCAUUGGUGACUGGCAGGCUAGAGUAUGGCAGAGGGGGGUAGAAUUCCACGUGUAGCAGUGAAAUGCGUAGAGAUGUGGAGGAAUACCGAUAGCGAAGGCAGCCCCCUGGGCCAAUACUGACGCUCAUGCACGAAAGCGUGGGGAGCAAACAGGAUUAGAUACCCUGGUAGUCCACGCCCUAAACGAUGUCAACUAGUUGUUGGGGAUUCAUUUCCUUAGUAACGUAGCUAACGCGUGAAGUUGACCGCCUGGGGAGUACGGUCGCAAGAUUAAAACUC